rnacentral:lncRNA from 1 species
UUCAAUUUCCUUCUCUCAAAGGGUGCUUCAAAUUCAGACCUUGUUCACAUCAUCACCAGAAAUCCUCUUAUGUUGUCUCAAAGCUUGCAAAAUACAAUAACCCCUUGUUAUGAUUUUAUCAAAAGAUUCUUACUUUCUGAUCAAUCUACCAUUGCAUCUCUCAAACAUUGCUCUUGUUUCCUUUAUUCUAAAUACCCAUCUCACAAUAUUCAGCUACUGCUUCAAUAUGGGGUCCCUGAGUCUAAACUUCUUAUUUUGUUUCAAAAUCAUUAUUACAUACUCUCUCAGAAUCCUUCAAUAUUUGAGAAGGGUAUAGCGGAAGUUAAAGAAUUAGGAUUUGACCCCAAAACAACCCUUUUCAUCGUCGCAUUGCGGGCUAAGAUUAAUAGCAAAUCCCAUUGGGAAAGGAAGAUUUAUUUGUAUAAGAAAUGGGGUUGGUCUGAUGAAAUUAUCGCCUCAGCAUUUUUGAAGUAUCCAUGGUGUAUGUUGGCAUCUGAGGAAAAAAUUGAGGCGGUGAUGCAGUUUCUUGUUAAUCACAUGGGUUGGGAAUCUAAUGUACUUGCCAAACAUCCGAUGCUUCUUAUGAUGAGUUUAGAGAAAAGGGUUAUUCCUAGGGCUUUUGUUUUGAAAUUUCUUCAAUCCAAAGGUUUGAUUAAGGAUGCUAAGUUGGCUGCACCUUUCAAAGUCUCUGAGGAUCUGUUUUUGAAGAGAUAUGUGAAUUGCUUUGAGGAAGAAGCAUCUCAGCUGUUGAAGUUGUAUGAAGAGAAAAGAGAUGCUUCAACUUUCAAAUAAGGUUUUGAAAAAAGAUUCGCAGCCACGAUCUUGGAAGCAACACAAAGGGUCUCUGCUGCAAUUUAGAACCUUGUUUUGAAGAUGGCACAGAUAUGCAAGUUGAAGUGGCGUUUCACAUCUCAUUGACCUUUUUUGGGGCGUUUGAAAUAGUCUAUAGUUUAAUUGGUGAGUGGUACUAGUAUCAGCUUACCAAAUUUUGUUACUUGAUCAUCCUGUAGGAUUCGUUCAUUGUUUAAGGGAAAACUACAACCUUUUUUAGACUAGAAAUACUUGUUUGACAACUGACAAUGACUUUUGCAAUCAACAUGAGUUAUAUAUUUUGGUGCACAGUGAUGUCUCUAUAAAAUAUGCUCUUUGGUAGUAUCCUUAAAUUUCACUCUUUUUUGCAGAAGUAACAUUCAUUCAUGCCCAAACAUGGUAUAUAGUCAUAGAAUAUGAUUUUUCUUGUGGUUUGUUCAUAUAAAAGUUCAUUGCCUACUUUCCAGUUCUUUGCUUGUGAUAACAAAUUUUUAUACAAGUUAAAUGAAAAUCAACAUAAUGUGAGAAGGAUGAUCUUUAUUCGGACAGAAUAAAAAAUACAUCUAUUUUUGUCGCAAGUAUUUCCUAGUUAGCUCAUCUCUCUCAGAUAACUCCCACUCCCUCAAUUUUAAAGCUUGUUAUAACUUUUUAUUUUUACUGCUCUUCAAGCAGUUCUGUUGAGGUUAAUUGAUGUUCCUAACUCGUAGUUGGCAGUAAACCUUGUGAGGAUCCCGCGAUUUGUGGCUCAGAUGGCUUCAUAUUCGAGCAUGAUAUCAUUAUUCUUAUUUAGUUUAUGGUGCAAUGCCCUUUUUAUUUUGAUACAAAUUUGGUUAGUAGCAGGAUUUGUUAUACAUGUGCAUUUAGGUUCUUCUCGUGACUGUGUUGUGCUUCUGGUAAUAGGGCCUUACCGUUUGUCCUAACCUUGCACUGGUAUUUUACUCUGCAUGAUAUUCCUGAGGUAUAAGAUGUUAUUUUAUUUUUUUCUUAGCACUUGCUGUUGUUGAGAUUCAUAUUUAGACUAUAGGAUGCGCAUUUAGGUUCUUCUCGUAACUGUGUUGUGUUUCUAAUCUUGUGGCAGAGCUCAUUUAGACUAUAGAAUUUUUUAUUUUUAUUUUUUAUGUAUUAGCAAUGAUGGAAAACCAUAGAUCCUUAUAGUCCUUUAUAGAAUUUGAUGCCAUGUGUACAUAUUUUAGUUUAAUUAUUUGUUUUAAUUGUACUUUUUUUAGUUUCACAUAAACAAUUGUAACGACCUUCAAGAGCUUCUAUUACUUUUAUGUUUGGAUCUCUUUAAGUAACAGAAAGGGAUAAAAUAGAGUAACUGGUACUUUGUCCUCAUUUGCUACAUUUUUUACAGCUAGUUUUGGUACACACAUUAGGCUAACUAAUAAUUGUGUUGUAACCCCAGAUGAAAUCUGGAACUGUGCCUUACUUGUUCAUAUGUACGACUCUUGUCUUGUUUCUGUUAUUUCUUAUUUGCAUGUUGCUUUAGUUUUCUGUGCUGGAGUUUUCCCCUCAAGUGCUUAUCACAUUACUCAGUUUGUUUGCUGUGAUCUUGCUCGAAAUAGGCUCACAAGAGAGAUAUCAGUGCUGCUUGGUAGUAAUUUAUUCCAUCCUGCUUCUGAGUUCCUGCGCACGAUAGAUUAGGUGUGUCUAAUCAUCUAAUGUAUAUGGGGAAAAUACUUUGAAUCACUUUUUAAUUUUUCUUACAUAUUGAAAUAUAGUUUUCCAAAACAAGUUAUGUUUUGCUAAAUACUCAGGUUUCUCAUGGACAGUACAAAAAAGAUCCAAUGAGCAUAACUUCAAACAAAAAUUAGUAUAUGUGCAGACAAUUUUAAUGCUUUUAACUAACUUAACUAAUUUCCUUGGUAGAAGUGAUUUAGUUAAAAGUUGUAUAUUUUGAGAGGGAUGGAGUAUUUGUGUUGAUGAUCGCUUGACAUAGGGAUGAUGACAUGUACUCACAAAAACGGACAGGAUAAAUCCUAUUGAUGGAGCUGAGUAGCAGCUGCAAAGAUAGAUCUAACCAAGGUAGCCAGGAUCGAGUCCCAGCAUGUAGGAUCGCACGAUCUUACGUGCUUUCCCCACCAAAACGAGCUACGACCUUGAUCUGGGUCGUUUUUGCCAUUUUUAUGAUCAGGAUCGAGUUUCUACAGCAGAAACGUAAGGGAAAAACGUACUGGGCUCUACGAAUCGGGUCGGGUCAAAAUAAAAGAAGAUUGAGAAGAAGAAAAACACUGUAUAAGGGAAGAUGUAAUCAAGGAUUUGCAACUCUUGUUUUCUGUUUCUGCGGCGGCGCUCCAUGGGAAAGAAGAGGACUCAGUCAAAUUAGGUUAAACUUGUAGAAAUCUAAUCUCUUGUUUGGGCCUUAAGGCCCAAUACCGAAAUACUUUACUUUUUUAAACAAACACGUGACUUUCAAAAAGAAAUACCUUGCCUUCUAUUAUAAAUAAAUAAUAAAUACCUUGCCUUUUAUUUCAGAAAAAAACAGUAGUAAAUGAUAUAAAAAAUGACAAACUAUUAUUAAUUAACUUAGUUUGAUGUUGUGAUCUAUAAGUUAUUUUGUUUUUUGUUUAUGUAUAGUAAUUUUUAUGUUUUCGUGUGUGUAUGUGUGUGAAGUUACAACUAUGCCCUUGAGUGGGUUCUUACGAACCGUGUUACGUUCCCCGACUUUACGUCCCUUCACCAGCCGAUCGAACCUACGUAAGAACUCGUUCCUGACUACAUUGGAUCUAACAGUGUGUUUAAGAAGCAAAAGUUAGUUAUCCUCUUCCAAGUUUCAGGAAGUAGCAUUAACAUUAACUAUUCAAAAGAAAAACUCACUGCUGUCUGUGAUAUCUUCUUUAUUAGUUAGUCUUAAUGUUGUUGUGGUGCAUAAGCAAUAUCCAUCUAUACUACAGGUGCCAUCAUUUAUAUAUCAUAAAGUUAUUGUAUUACAUCAAACUAUAACACAUUUUGCAGAAGAAGUUAAAUGACAUGAAGCGCAAUUGAAAUAGCAGCAUGCUCAUGCUGUUCCACUGAUGUGGUUUUCCCAUCCCUCCUAAAAAGGUGGAAAUAUGAGACAAAAUGGUUAGCCUAAAAUUACGGCGUGAGUUUCGAUAUAUUAUAGUUAGAUAUGAAACUUUCCGGGGACUUAUCUUAGAACCAUUGUUUUGAGCUUCAUAGGGUAUUCCCAUGAGCAAUAGUUGAGACUAAUAUCUUCAAUUAGAGGGAGUUAAAAAAAAUUACCCAGGGAUUUAUAAAAAGGAGGAAGGAGGUAGUACUUAUACCUAUAAUGGAGGAAGAUAUAAUAUGGUUCAUUUCAGGAUCUAGAGGCUAAAGAACAUCUGUGGUUUUUAUUACAGUAUGUGAAAUCUAAUUCUAAUUCUAAUUCCUCACAAAAGACACUGAAUUCAUAUUUGUCCCUAAGAGAAAAAAUAAUUCUUGUCAGGGACUAAUGUGAACUCGUUAACAUUUCCCUUGAACUUAUUAUAACUUUUGUCAAGCAGGGAAUCUAUUUAUUGAGUCAAAUGUUAUGGAAGAAAUGAAGCUUCGGCUAGAUAAGUGAUGAAGAUAAACUCAGGAUGUGGAAGCUAAAAUUAGUAAAUGUGAGAUGAGUAUGGUUAUGACGAAUGUGAACUCGUUAACAUUUCCCUUGAACUUAUUAUAACUUUUGUCAAGCGGGGAAUCUAUUUAUUGAGUCAAAUGUUAUGGAAGAAAUGAAGCUUCGGCUAGAUAAGUGAUGAAGAUGAACUCAGGAUGUGGAAGCUAAAAUUAGUAAAUGUGAGAUGAGUAUGGUUAUGACGAAAACCCACUCACCACUUGAAUAAAAUGUCAUUGAAUAAGAAAGAGUAACGAUGUAGGGGCUAUUUAUUUUUUUGUGAUUUUGACUUCUAUAGUAUUAUAUUGUAUGUGGAAGUAAUGUAUCAUAUCCCAAUUUGAAAAUAAAUGCUAAUUUUUUUUUAACAAGCUAAAUUAGCCUACCAAAAUUGUUACUCAAGCUAAAUUGUCACUAGCUAACACCAUUAGACCAACUCAAAUGAGUUGAAAAUAAAUGUAAAUUGAUGUCGUUAGCUUAUUCCCUUUUGAGAGACUAAAAUGAGUUUCAUGAUUUGUGAGGGACUAAGUUGUCCCUUGAUUUUUCAUUACAAUGCCGCUAUGUGAGAUAACUAAUGUUGUAAAUGCUACAUCACAUAAUUAACUAAGCAGUCCACAUAAUCGAUUAAGAGUUAAUUGAGUCAUAAAAUUUUCUUAAGGGACAAAUGUGUGUUAACUAAAUCCUUAUGGGUGCUGAGAGAUUGAUUGUGCAUACUUUCUUAUCAUACUACGCUCAUUCAGAAAUCUGACUUAUGAAGGAGUAUGGAAAUAAAGAUUCUUGGACUAAAUUGUUCAGUGUUUCUAACAUGGGAGGUGUUAAUUCUUAUCCUCAUUCGAAGGCACUUUAUGUUUAUGAGGAUAAUCAGGUGCUGCUCGAGUUAAAGUCAAAGUUGGUUGUUUACAAUUCUACGGAUGGUACUUUUAAGACUCUUAAAAUUCCAAUGCGCCCCUGCCAUAAUUGGAUGAUUCCGGAAGUCUACCAAGAGAGUUUGAUAUCUGUUAUUCUUAAUAGUUAAUAGUAGAAUCUAUGUAGUAAUAUAGAUGCUAUGUUACGCCCCAUGGUUUAUGAAAAAUACAUCCUAACUGCAACUGUUAAGUUAAUUUCCAUUUGUAUUAUGUACCUUAUGUUUUAUGAAGAACCCAUCCAAUGGAUUCUUCAAUUUCUUAACUGCAACCUACAUGCUCAUUUCCAUUUAUGUUAUGUAUUUUAUGUUUGUUGGUUACCAUUGAUUGCUAUUAUAUAUUCUUCGAUGAAAUUCUCAGCAUGAGAAAGUGGUGUGUUAGGUUUGAUUUAUUCGAUGGUUAAAGUUUUUGUUUGUUCUUUCAUCAUGCAUUUCAAUAUAUAAUGUAGUGGUUUGGUUUUCCAAGAUUGGAAUAAGAUUUAUGCUCAGUCACUUGUAUGUUUGUUAAUAUGUAUGCCGAUUGCCAUAAAAAUUUCAUUAUUGUGCUACAAAACCGCAUUGUUGCUGGGAUGUCUGAACCUUAACCUUUAGGUUCACUUGUAUGCAGUCUCUUGAUUUGAAAGUGCUCCUGCGGAAUGUAAUUAAUGUUUUGUUGAAGAGGGAGAUAUUGAGGAAUGUAGAAAUUAUCAUUAAUUAAGAGUCACUAAUAAUCAUUUUACAACUAUGCCUGUUAAAUUUAGAAAGUCAAACUCUUCUCGUUGAGCUGACACAUAUGGUAAAGAGUUAUUAAGUGAUUAUAUAUGACAGUUGUGUUUAAGAGAGUUUGAUGAUGUGAUAUUUUGAUAUUUCCGGGUGAUAGAUUUAAAGACUCAAUUGUUUUAUUUUAAGAAUGUCAAAAAGGUAGUGAGAUAGAAGUAGGAGAUGAAGAAACCACUACUCAGCUAGCUAGAGCUGUUUACUUGAUUAACAUCAGUAGCAAGGAUUAUUCGGCUUAUCAUCUGAUUCACUAUUUUAUUUUGAUCAUCAGGUUUUGGUUAUUUUUCUUAUCGUCUGAUUUCAUGAUUUGGGACAUAUUUCAUAUUGAAAUGUCGUGUUAAUUUGGGAAAUUUUUGCCUAAUUGUUAUUAUAGGAUAAAUUGGGACGAGUUUAGUUUCUAUCCCUAAUAACUACGAGGAUUAAGAUGUUUUAACAUAUAUACAAAUACGUGAAUUUGAUAAACACAGUGUUGUUCUCAGUUCUUUCUAAAUAGCUUGAUUUAAUUGUUCCAAAGUUAUAUCUUCCAUUAUAACCAAAACUAUCACACAUGAAAAAUGUGUCAUUACAAGGAAAAUAGUAUUGGUAGAGAUUUUUGAGAGGUGGCUCUUGUUCAUAUGGCUGAGCACCAGAGAAGUCUAUUUUGGUUGUAAUUAAAUAAUUUUUUAUUUUUUUACCUUUAAUUGAUGAGUAUUUACUAAAAUGAAUGACAUGGUAACAUUUUUUUAUACAAGCAGUGUUCUAAGGGAUCCAAAUAACUGACUGUAGCUCUCUCUCAUGUUGCAAGAAAUUUGUAUUGUUUAUAUAACGGACUAAAAAAGAGAACAAUAUCCGAUUUAUAUGUUAAUGGACUAGAAAACAAACGCUCAAAAGGUUGGAAAAGUGCAGCCAAUUUAGCAUUCUUUUGCUGAGUCUUGAGAAAAGGGUUAUUCUUAGGGCAUCUUUCUUGAAAUUUCUUGUGUCCAAAGGUUUGAUUAAGGAUGCUAAAUUGGCUUCAUCUUUCCAACUUUAUGAGUGUUUGUUUUUCAAGAAGUUCGUGAAUUGCUUUGAGGAAGAAGCUUCUCAGCUGUUGAAGUUGUAUGAAGAGAAAAUAGAUGUUUUCAAUUGGUGUUGAAAAAAGAUUUUAAGCUGGGAGAUUCGCGAGCACAAUCUAAAAAGUUACACCAAUCAUGAUUUGUGACGGACUAACUUGUCCCUUCCCUUUAAAAAAAAAACGUGUGCCUUGAUUUUUCAUUAAAAUGCCACUAUGUCAGUAAAUAAUGUUGUUAAUGUUACAUCACAUAAUAAACUUAGUAGAUUAAGAAACAAUUGAGUAAUAGAUUUUUGUCAAGGGACAAAUGUGUCCCAAUUAUUUUUUUAAGAGCCAAAAGUUACAUUUCUUAUUAGACCAUUGAAUCAUGUAUUUUUGUGAGGGAUUGUAAUGUGUUUUCAUUCAAAUAAAAAAAAAGAAGUAAACCAACUAAAUAAUCCUUGUAUCGAAUUUUCAAUUUGAUCUAUGAGAACAUGAAUAUUUCAAUUUGGUACACGACUUUGUAAAAUGUUUUUCAAGUUCGUCGUCCUCUAUGUCAAUGUUCAUUGAAAACACCGUUAACAAUGAUGAUGUGUCACGAGGGAAGUUUAAAUGAUCAUCCAUUAAACUUUUUUGUUUUUAUUUUUUUAGGGUAUCCAUUGAACUUUUAACUACCACACAAGUUAGUUAGACACUCAUUCAUUUAAAUAUAUCCCCCUCGAGCUUUCAUCCACAUACAUUGUUGUUGGUGCUCCAUCAACGAGACACACCACAUGCUUUCAUCCACGGUUGGUUAACAAGGAAAGUUUGAAAGAUUAUUACAUUAAGAGUCACCAAACAAAUACGUUGAUUGUUUGUACUAUAAGCUUAUAACAUAUACAAUUAUACAUAUACACUGUUCAUAAGUCUACGAUAUAAAAAUAACUUAAAUAUAAACACUUAUCAUGAAAGUGCAUGUGCUAUAAGCUUGUAAUUUUCAUAAGUAUCUGAUAUAGCUUAUUAAAACAACUUAUAACAUAUAAACAUCAAUUUAACAUUAUUUUAUCUUUUACUAUAAAAAUAUAGUAACACACAAACGUUCAUCAUGAUAAGUGUUUGCGUUUUAAGCUACAAAUAAAGUUGUUUAUCCAAACAUGCCUAUGUAAAUUUACAUGUUCUCAACUUCAACUUCAACUCUUCAUCUUUCCCUCACUCAAAAGAAAACUUCCACUUUUCACAUUUGAGACAGGAAGGAAAGAUACUAACUUCAUUCACCCAACCAACCAACCAACCAAGCAGAACAACAACGAUGGAUCGACACACAGCAACAACAAUGGUAUGAAUCGAACAUUCUUAUUACUCUGAUUUUGUUACUAUCAUCAUGUUUUGUUACUAUCGGAGAACAUUGCUCUUCCCUAAUAACCUCAAAUUCAGAUUCAAAACACUAACAGUAACACAAUCUUCAUUUCUUCUCCAACCCUUUUCUUCAUCUACCAAACAACAACAACACUCUUUCACAGUUAACUAUCUCAUUCAAAAUCUUGGUUUCUCCCCACAAACAGCUUCCAAACUCUCCAAACGACUUCAACUCAACAACUCACAAAAACCAGACUCAGUCCUCUUAUUAUUCAAAUCCUAUGGCUUCUCAAACUCCCAGUUAUCAACUCUCAUCAAAACCUACCCUAAUCUUCUCUCUGUUAAUCCCAACAAGACCAUUCUUCCUAAAUUCAACUUCCUUCUCUCAAAGGGUGCUUCAAAUUCAGACCUUGUCUACAUCAUCUCCAAAAAUCCUUUUAUAUUGUGUCGAAGCUUGGAAAAUACAAUAACCCCUUGUUAUCAUUUUAUCAAAAGAUUCUUACUUUCUGAUCAAUCUAUCAUCGCUUCUCUCAAACAUUGCGCUUGCUUGCUUUAUUCUAAAAUCCCAUCUCACAAUAUUCAAUUCCUGCUUCAAAAUGGGGUACCUGAGUCUAAAGUU